rnacentral:lncRNA from 1 species
CUUUUAUUCUAGGGCUGCAUCCGUGGCAUAUGGAGGUUCCCAGGCUAGGGGUUGAAUCAGAGCUGUAGCCACCGGCCUACGCCACAGCCACAACAACGUGGGAUCUGAGCCACAUCUGUGACCUACACCACAGCUCAUGGCAACGCCAGAUCCUCAACCCACUGAGCGAGGCCAGGGAUCAAACCCUCAACCUCAUGGUUCCCAGUUGGAUUCAUUAACCACUGAGCCAUGACGGGAACUCCAAAACUAAGUAUCUUGAAAGGUUUCCUUUGAGAGGUAGCAAGUCAUUGUAAGGACAUUUCAGAGAGUAAGAAUGAAGAAUAGAACCAGAGGACACGACUGCUGCAAAAUGUUCAUGUGCUCUAAUUUCCCUUCACCUAUACUGUGUAUUUCAAGGCCUUCCAGCUUCUCUGCCUCCACCUUGUUCUAAACCACUGCCCUGCUUUAGUCAUCUUAUGUGGGUUGAAAUAUAAUUCAUAAUUUAUCCUUCCCCCAACCCUUUCCCCUUUGGUAACCAGAAGCUUGUUUUCUCUGUCUGUGAGACUAUUUCUGUUUUGUAAAUAAGUUCAAAAUAGCAUUGUAAUUCAACUGUAUUUCAAUGACAAUUAAAAAAAUAAAAAAUAAAAUAGCUUCCUAACUGGUCUCUCUGCUUCUACUCUUAAUUCACUUCCAUCCAUUCUUCACAGAAAGCUGGAAUGAUUUUUUUUAAAUGAAAAUAUGUUCACAUCACCCCUUUGCCCUCAUUACUCUUUUCACUGGUUUUCCAUUGUGCCUGCAGGAAAGACCAAAAGGCUGAACAUAUUACAGACCUCUGGCCUGGUAGAGGUCUGGCCUACUUUUCUAGUCUGACUUGAACUAUCACUUCCUGGCCCCUCUGGGUUCCUGUCACACUAGCCUUCUCUAAACUCCUGAAUGUAUCAAUCUCUUCCCAACUCAGAUUGACAGUCCCCCUCCUGAUAAGUUAAGUCUAACACCCAACUCUUCCCUUUGCUAAUUUUUUUUUCCUUUAUAGAGCUAUAUCUACAGUAUAUGGAAGUUCCCAGGCCAGGGGUUGAAUUGGAGCUGCAGCUUUCAACCUAUACCACAGCUCAUGGCAACGCUGGAUCCCUAACCCACUGAGACCAAGGAUCAAACCCACAUCCUCAUGGAUACUAGUUGGGUUUGUAAUCGCUGAGCCACGAUGGGAACUCACACUCUUUGCUAAAUUUUACUCAUAUUUCAAGUUUCAACAUCAAUAUUAUCUCCCCAGAAAGGCCUUCCUUAAUUGCCCAGAACAGUUUAGUUUCCCUUACUGCUUCCUUUCAUAGUCUAUUCUUUUCUGUCAUAUAUUUUCAUUCAUUCAUACCUUUACCCAUGCAUUCAUUCAACAAUUAUCAUUGAGCACCUACUAUGCUCCAGGCACUGUUUUAGGUGCCAGAGAGGCAUGGUCCAUGUGCUCAUGGAGCCUACCUUAAUUUAUAAUUGUACAUUUAUUUGUGUAUUUAUUAAAAUAUUUGUUCAUUGACUUAUUAAAGUUUAGUUGAUUUAUAAUGUUUUGCCAAUUUCUGCUGUAUGACCCAGUCAUACAUACAUAUACAUUCCCUUUCUUAUAUUAUCAUCCAUCACAGCCUAUCCCAUUUUGACAACGCUAGUCCUAGAAGCCUGUCUCCAGUAAGUUAGUGCUUUUCCUCAUUUUUAGGAACAUAGGAAAUUGUAGGUAUGGCAAAGACCACUAGUGUCGUCUUCCUCCUGGGCCACAGCUAUAGGGCAUUUCCCAGAUUUCCUUGCAGUUAAGUCAGGUGAUUAAGUUUUAGCCAAUGGGAUGUGAAACAACAUGAAUGCCUGCUCUAUAAGGACUACUGUGCUCACCUAUGCUUUUUCCCCCCUCCUGUUGGCCGGAAAACAGAGAACUCUGUAGUUUAAGAGGAUGGCAGUGUCAUUAGAUGAAAUGGGCCUGGUUCCUUGAAUCACUACAUGGAGGAAAGUCACCUGCUGACCCAGAACGCCUACCAAAAACUGUACUUGAAGGAGAAAUUUGGGGCUAUAUUUGUGAUAAUGGAAAGUAUUACUACCUAAUUUGUUAGACAUCUGACUUUUCUAAAAAUAUUAGGAUUUAGGGAUAUUAGCCAAAGUUGCCACUGUGCAUUUCCCAUUUUGUAUCCUGAAUGUAUUUCCUAGAGAAGGCCAUUGGACAGUUCCUCCUCUAUUUAGUCAAAUGCAGAGCAGAGAUUUUCCUUAAUUCCUCUCAGAAUUCUGUGACCUUCUUUUCUUUUUUCUUUUCUUUUAUUUAUUUAUUUAUUUAUUUAUUGCUUUUUAGGGCUGCACUUGUGGCAUAUGGAAGUUCCCAGGCAAGGGUUCAGAUUGGAGCUAUAGCUGCUGGCCUACACCAAGAUCACAGCAAUGCAGGAUCCAAGCCACGUCUGCAAACUACAUCACAGCUCAUGACAACACCGGAUCCCUGACCCACUGAGUGAGGCCAGGGAUCAAA